AGGCCCGUAGCUCAGUUUUGGUUAGAGCGCUACCUUGACACGGUAGAGGUCAGCGGUUCGAGUCCGCUCGGGCCUACCA
rnacentral:tRNA from 2 species